AUUCCUGGUCUUUUGGAGGGUGGUGGAAAGGGACAUUUGAAGGCUGGUGAUUUUUUAAAAGGACAAGUGAUGGCACUUUUCCUCCUCUCCUUGUUGCCCAUGUAGAAAGUGCUGAAAGACUAAAGGGCUUUGAGUGUGGGGGCAUUUGUGCUGUUUGUUUCUCAGGCCAUAUGCACAGCUCAGUCCUUUUUAUAGUCCUGCAUAUGGCACGAGCAUAAUUGAAUUUUUCACCGUAAUUGAUCUGACCUGUAUCAUUCUGCUGGCUCCAGCAGAGAUAAUUCCAACUGACUGAGAUCAGGACUGAAAACAUGGUGCAGUGAGUGGAGGAGCCAUGAAUUCCCAGAGAGGAGGAGGCACGAGCGGCUUUGCCCAGUUUGUGCUGUUUGUACCUGGCACAGAGCUCCUCCUGACUCGAACCAGAACCACAGACUCCUGCUUGCUGGAAAGGAGGAACAGAAAAAACCAAGGAGAAACAACACUUCAGCAUCACUAUUACAUCUCCAUCCUCUUCAGCCUUAAAGUUCUCCUUCCCUUUCACUAGAGCCAGGAGGAAUAAAGUACUCUGAGCAGUUGCUCUGCCUUCUUUCCAUUCCUUUUCCCCCUGCUCCCCUUCACUGUGAGUCAGAGUGCUGAGGUUCUUGGAGAGUCUGGGAAGAGGACAGUGCCUGAUUUCCAUGGGCCAGCAUCUGGCCACAGUUACAACAAGCAAAAAUUACCUGUGGUGUUUAUGGUUAGGAAGAAUCUCGAUUUCUUGACCGUAUGAGGCAUUCACGGAUCCUGUAAGAGAGAAAAAAAGGCUCAGGUAUAUAUUUUUUUUAAUUAAAAGU
rnacentral:lncRNA from 12 species